GCUUCUCCCUUCUUGUGGUGGGGCUCAGACACCAGCAACAGCCUCUUGGGAUGCCCCAAGUUGUCUCCAGUUCUUUCUAGCUGUCCUUUUUUAAGUGUGUGCUCUUCCUUCCUUAAAACCCCUAGAUUUCCUGUUACAUACUAACACAGGUCUUCCCUUUCACUCCAACCCCAGGUUUCAGGCCUCAGAGCCAUGCUGGGGUUGGAGAAAACUGCAUUCCUAUGAGGGUAAAAAGUAGCUGCCCUCUCUGACCCUUUCUUGCUAGGCUUCAUGCGGGAUGGGAGAGGGUAUCCCCAGGAUGGGGACAGAGGAAGCCUGGCUAGGGCCUUCUAGCCCAAUAAGCCAAACAGGAACUAUAAGCAGAUCAAAAUCCU
rnacentral:lncRNA from 1 species